rnacentral:lncRNA from 1 species
GAAAGCUAUGAAAACGCAGUAUAAAGUAAAAAAAAACCAAAAGAUAAAUAAUAAAAGAAUUGAAAAAAGUGUUUGUGUGGUCUCGCCCCUUUUUAGUGGUGCAAAAUUUUACAUGAAUUCUAUUUACCAAAAAGUAAUUAAAAAGAGUUAAAUUGGACUUUCCCUCCGGUUAAAAAAUAAAUAAAUACAAAUCUGUUUUCAAUAGUUUAGCCCUGAAAACAAGAAACUCACCAAGAGAAAACAAUUCCAAUAUAGCCAGCCAGUUAACUGAACACUAAAAAAAAAAGCCACCGCCUGCCCAUUUGCGCUUUUGCAGACAACAUCCACCGUUGCAGCGGCCAUAACUUUGUUUCUGCUAUACGUUUUUAUGCGUGUGCGUUUGUCGAUGUCCUUUGGCUCAUUUCUUUGCAUUACUCCCACUUUUAAUGCUUUUCUGCCCUCUCCGUAUACAUAUGUAGUACAUUUGUACAUACAUUUUCCAUGUCCGUACAUACAUGCUUAUGUAUAUUCUGCGAAUUAUAACUCAAUUAUGCAUACUUUGCACUGCACUGCAUAGCAUAUAAUUUUUACGUAGAAAUGCUGUACGUUGGGUAAUGGCUCACUGCACUGCAUAGCAUGCCACAACAAAGUGAAUGUAACGCUGUGCCUUGGGUAACCGCUUCACGUAAAGCUCAUUCAACGAAUUCCUUUUUGACAACUCUCAUGCAAUGCCAAGUACGCAUAACUGUGCCAUUAGACGCUGUAGAAGGUCUUUGUUGUUCAUUUUUGUUUUUGUUGUUUCGAACCACACUAUUCCCGCUUUCUUGUUGGCUUGUCUGCUUCUAUACACAAAGUUUCAGCAGGACUUGAGAAUUGAUAAUUUCUGACGCCGCAAAUCGAGCCGGCAUUUAGAUACCUACAUAUGUAAUGUCAUAUCUUUGGGAAGAAAUUCAAGUAUUUUUGUAAAGACUUUGUCUUCUAAUAUUUUGUUAUUUUUAUUUGGUAGAUAUUGUUAGCAUUUAACUCCGAAAAUUCAUUUAACACAUCCUUUUAGGGAAAGUUUAAAACAAUGUUCGGCUCUUUGAAUGGCGCAAUUUCAUAAAAGCAGAUAAAUAGAUACUAUACAUUUCCUAAUGUUUGAAUAAAAGUACACUUUCUACUGACGUCGAGUGAACGGGUAUGGAUUCCUGUGCUAUUGGUAGCUUUUGAUUGAAGGACAUUUAUUGAUGUGGAUCCUAGACACACCAACAUCGCAAGCAAUAAAAAAGGAUUUCCAAAAUAAACAACUGCAAAGUGAAAUCUUAGGGUCAAGGGAAAUACCGACCUAGCAAUGAGAACAACAACGCUAAAGAAAAUCAAACAAUACGUAAACAAAACAGCGAAUAACAGCAACACAUGACUGCAGCACAAACGAAAUUGCCGACGACGACGCGGAGGACGACGACAUAAAAAGGUCGCCACGGAGUAAACGACGUACACGACGGCAAAUAAAUACAAACAAAAGGAGAAGAAAUUAAAACGAACGUGUGAAAUCAACAAAUCCGCAGCAGAACCCGCAGUACUACCCCACAAGUGUGCUGGCGAACACUCAACACUCUGCAACGGUACAGAGGGAUUAUCUCGUGUCACAAGCGCCAGUGCCACACUACAUAUAAUUUACACAAUAACGUGCGAAUACUUUUACUACAUACAUAUUUAUAUAGUCACUACAAAAGGCAAUAACUUUAUAACUGUAUCACAAAUUAAGUAGAACGAAACGCGCUUAGGAUAAUCGACUGCCUGCCUGCGUGUCCGUGUCCUUGCAACAAACAGUGUUUCUUUGCCGCUGGCCGAUGUUUCGCGUGCCGCCAAUAGUCGCUAGUAGAGUAUAACGGAAUCAAAAAGUCAAGACCAGCCGACCAGUGUAGAACGGCGCGAAGCACUCGUCAACUAACUGUAUCCAAAGCUUUUUCAAAUUUAAAGCCCUCCACGUAUUUUUUCACUUUUAAAGCGUAAAUAAUAUAAAAUCCAAAAAAAAAAC